UACGGAGGAUCCUAGCGUUAUCCGGAUUUAUUGGGUUUAAAGGGUGCGCAGGCGGAAUUAUAAGUCAGUGGUGAAAUCCUACAGCUUAACUGUAGAACUGCCAUUGAUACUGUUAUUCUUGAGUAUAUUUGAAGUGGGCGGAAUGUGUCAUGUAGCGGUGAAAUGCUUAGAUAUGACACAGAACACCAAUUGCGAAGGCAGCUCACUAAGCUAUAACUGACGCUCAUGCACGAAAGCGUGGGGAUCAAACAGG
rnacentral:rRNA from 1 species